rnacentral:rRNA from 1 species
UACGGAGGGUGCAAGCGUUAUCCGGAUUCACUGGGUUUAAAGGGUGCGUAGGCGGGUAAGUAAGUCCGUGGUGAAAUCUCUGAGCUUAACUCAGUAACUGCCGUGGAUACUAUUUGCCUUGAAUAUUGUGGAGGUGAGCGGAAUAUGUCAUGUAGCGGUGAAAUGCUUAGAUAUGACAUAGAACACCAAUUGCGAAGGCAGCUCACUACACAAUCAUUGACGCUGAGGCACGAAAGCGUGGGGAUCAAACAGG